rnacentral:ncRNA from 2 species
UCAGUUGUGAGGAGGCCAACCGUUGUGGAAACAAGGUCACACGCCGGUGUGCCCAGA